GCGUAAGCGCACGCAGGCGGUCUGUCAAGUCGGAUGUGAAAUCCCCGGGCUCAACCUGGGAACUGCAUUCGAAACUGGCAGGCUAGAGUCUUGUAGAGGGGGGUAGAAUUCCAGGUGUAGCGGUGAAAUGCGUAGAGAUCUGGAGGAAUACCGGUGGCGAAGGCGGCCCCCUGGACAAAGACUGACGCUCAGGUGCGAAAGCGUGGGGAGCAAACAGGAUUAGAUACCCUGGUAGUCCACGCCGUAAACGAUGUCGAUUUGGAGGUUGUGCCCUUGAGGCGUGGCUUCCGGAGCUAACGCGUUAAAUCGACCGCCUGGGGAGUACGGCCGCAAGGAUAAAACUCAAAUGAAUUGACGGGGGCCCGCACAAGCGGUGGAGCAUGUGGUUUAAUUCGAUGCAACGCGAAGAACCUUACCUGGUCUUGACAUCCACAGAACUUUCCAGAGAUGGAUUGGUGCCUUCGGGAACUGUGAGACAGGUGCUGCAUGGCUGUCGUCAGCUCGUGUUGUGAA
rnacentral:rRNA from 1 species